ACAAUGGAGAGUUUGAUCCUGGCUCAGGAUUAACGCUGUCGGCGUGCCUAAUACAUGCAAGUCGAAUGGU
rnacentral:rRNA from 1 species